GACAUAGUGGCCGAGUGGUUAAGGCGACUGACUAGAAAUCAGUUGGGAAUUUCCCGCGUAUGUUCGAAUCAUGCCUAUGUCG